UACGGAGGGUGCGAGCGUUAUUCGGAAUUAUUGGGCGUAAAGGGCGCGUAGGCGGCCGAAACAGUCAGCUGUGAAAUCCCGGGGCUUAACCCCGGAAGUGCGGUUGAAACUAUUUGGCUUGAGUAUGGGAGAGGGAAGUGGAAUUCCUGGUGUAGAGGUGAAAUUCGUAGAUAUCAGGAGGAACACCGGUGGCGAAGGCGACUUCCUGGACCAAUACUGACGCUGAUGCGCGAAGGCGUGGGUAG
rnacentral:rRNA from 1 species